AACAAAAACAAAAACAAAUCUCACAUUUGACCAAAUCUGCCUGCAGCUGUUAAACACUGCAUUGAAUGCUUUCUCUCUCUCUCUCUCUCUCUCUCUCUCUCUCUCUCUUUUCUUUCUCCCACAUGCGCGCGCCUGCACACGAGCACACGUCCCCCACUCAGCCGGGCGCGCACACGCAAACCUGCUUGCCAAUGCACUGCACAGGAGCCAGUGACAGUGCCCAUGCCUGCCUGCGAUCGCUGUCUGGCGUCUCUACCGCUCCUCUGGAUGUUUGCGCAGAGGACACCUGCCACCGCCGGUGACUGCACCGAUCUCCGCGGCACAAUCCAGCUCGUUUCCGCCUCUUCACUUUUACAACGUGCGACGGUUUUUGUUGCGGGCACCUGUUUCAAGACUAUCUUUCAUUCGAGUGAAAAAAAACGCUGUAGAGCCAGGCGUUUGACUUCCAACUUGGAGCUUGAUGGCACGGUUAUUUUUGACAGGUCUGGAAAGUUGCGCUGCGUCAAGGAGCAUGGGCGCAAACUUUAAAAGCUUUUUAUAAUCGAGAGACAGUUUUUAGAAUGAAGGCAGGUGAGUCACCAAUCGCGUGAGAGGCGCACAGAGUUUCGGGGCUUUCCAGGUACUGGAAAAGAAAGGCGACACGGAGGACGUCGUGAUCUGAGCGGCGGAUUGCGCCACGGAGGACGGAGGGAACGGACCGAUGAGACAACAUGGGUCCAUUGCUGUUUGAUGGACGACUGACACACCUCCUCUUUCCUCUCCUCCUUCUCUUGCGGGCUCCCCUGUUGUUUAGCUUAAGUGAGCGCACCUGCCCCAAUAGCUGCCGAUGUGAGGGGAAAACUGUCCAUUGUGAUUCAGCUGGCUUCUUAGAUGUCCCUGAAAACGUCUCAGUAGGCUGCCAAGGCCUCUCCCUGCGCUACAAUGAACUACACACCCUGCUACCAUAUCAAUUUGCUCACCUCAGCCAGCUUCUAUGGAUAUACUUGGACCACAAUCAGAUUUCAGCUGUUGACAGCCGAGCAUUCCAGGGGGUCCGCAGGCUUAAAGAGCUAAUACUGAGCUCCAACAAGAUCACAUCCCUGCACAAUUCAACAUUCCAUGGAAUACCCAAUCUUCGCAGUCUGGACUUGUCCUACAAUAAAUUGGAAAUUCUGCAGCCAGGUCAAUUCCAUGGCUUACGAAAACUGCAAAACCUACACCUACGCUCAAAUGGUCUCUCCAACAUCCCAAUUCGAGCAUUCCUAGAGUGCCGAAGUUUAGAGUUUCUGGAUUUGGGCUACAAUCGAAUCAAGGCUCUUACCCGCACCACCUUUUUGGGGCUACAGAAGCUGAUGGAGUUGCAUCUGGAACACAACCAGUUCUCACGUAUCAACUUUUUUCUGUUUCCACGCUUAGCCAACCUGAGAUCACUCUAUCUGCAGUGGAACCGCAUUAGGGUGGUCAACCAGGGCCUUCCGUGGACUUGGUAUACACUGCAGAAACUCGAUCUGUCUGGAAAUGAAGUCCAGGUCCUGGACCCUGCUGUGUUUCACUGCUUGCCCAACCUUCAAGUCCUCAACCUGGAAUCCAACAAACUGUCCAAUGUGUCUCAGGAAGCAGUGUCAGCAUGGAUCUCACUGACCUCCAUCAGCCUUGCUGGGAACAUGUGGGAUUGUGGAACUGGCAUAUGCCCACUUGUGGCUUGGUUGAGGAAUUUUCGGGGUAGUAAAGACACCACUAUGAUAUGCAGCAGCCCAAAGUAUCUCCAGGGAGACAAAAUUAUGGAAGCCACAAGGAACCAUGGUAUUUGUGAGGAAACUGAUUACGUUCUGACUGAAACACCCUCACCAAUGUCAGAGCUAAUUUCUGAAGCCACAGCUGAACCAACCUUUGCCCCUACUAGCGGCUCUCCACCUUUGCCACCAACUAGCACCUUUGGUCCUCUCCCACCCUUCAGACCUCGACCUAUUCCUCAUCCUACCUUUCCAGGGCAUAUGAGCAAAGACCCAAGAGACUCAGUAGCUCGCACUCGACCCACUCCCAUACCACCACCUGAGAUAGAGCACAUGACACUGCACAAAGUGGUGGUGGGUAGUGUGGCACUCUUCUUCACUAUGUCCCUACUCUUGACAAUUAUCUAUGUGUUGUGGCGGCGCUAUCCAGGUGCAACCAGGUUGCUGCAACAACGAUCCAUGGUGGGCCGGAAGCGUCGCAAAAAGAGUCCAGAGCCUGAGCAGAACCUGAGCUCCCAGCUCCAAGAGUAUUACAUGAGCUACAACCCUGCUGCCACACCAGAGGCAUUGGAGGUGCUAGGCAAUGGCACUGGUUCCUGCACUUGCACAAUUUCUGGCUCCAGGGAGUGUGAGGUAUGAUCCAUCGCCUCAGCCUAAAAAUAAAAACUCAAAAUCAAAAUACAAAGACUCAACAGAGAGAAUGAGUAUACGUGUCCACGCCCCCUACCUGGUGCCUGGCUGGGAGAUGUGCCUACCAUCCAUUAACCCCAAAAAGGAACUGCUUUCGAUGGUGCAGCAAACCACAUUGAAACAGGGAUACAGGAGAGAGACAUAUGCAGAGAACCUAUCAGGAUCCUACUCCCAUAAUUCCCAUUCAUGGAUACAUUUAAAAUGGUCCUUCACGCUAACAAGGUCAACCAAUGACCAAGACAAAGAGGAGAUAAUAAUGUCUUUUUCUUAAGAUUUUAUAAUGUCUUUUUUUGGCCUGUGGUCUUUGGUCAUCAGCUUUGCUGCAUUCCAUCAUGCUUCAUCACUACACAAAUACUGACACAGAUGGUUGUGGAAAUGCAGUCCUAUGGUAAAUAGCAGAGCCUUGGAAAAAGAUUUGUGAACACUAAUGGAUGGUUAUAACCAACAUGGGAGCUUAUUGUAUAGACUUUAUAGCUUACUGUCUUCACGAGGACAACAUAGCAUUGUUUUAAACACAGGCAAAAGACUGUACAAACUCAAGAGUCUUUAAAAAGUGUAAACUGAGCAAUGAAUCAUUAAUGAAAAUGCAUUGAACAAGUGACUCUGACUGCUCUGCUAACACAGCUGUGUGUAAUUUAAAGUGGGUUUCCAUAUUUUGAUUCCAUAUGAAGCAUCAUUUCAAUACGUGUUUUUUUUUUUUUUUUUUAAAGGAAGACUAAUCAAAGGCUAGGAGGGUGUAAAUGUGCCUCAAUGGAGCAGGAAAAUUAUAGAAAGGAGUCACUGAGUUUCUGUGCACCAGUCAGUAAAAAGGAAUCCGCUCCAUCAGGUGGAAAUCAAGUCAGCUGGAAGAGUUUUGACGCCUGCGAAAAGUUGCCAGAGGAAAGCAAACUGUCCCCCAGCCAAUGACUGGAGAAGUUUUUUGUUUGUUUGCUUUUUUUAAAAAGUUUUUUCUAAGUUGUUUCUAAUUGCAAUCAAACCUCGACUAUGUAGUUUGAUUUGGAGGACAGAAAGGGCAAUCAGAAGCAAAGGAGGGAAAAAAGAAAACGAUCAUAUCAAGGGAAAAAUGUAAUUUUCUGAAAUUAUAAUGUUGUUAAUGUUGUACUUUAUGAAUAUGUGUUUCUGCUAUUUUCAACACCAAAUACCAAAGAGCCAAAUGGAGCAUUUUUGGCUUUUGGCUCUUCCAACCAUGGGUUGUGACAGAUCGAGGAUUUGCUCUCUUAAAAGAAAUCCAAGAAAAAUCAAAAGAAGCCUCAACUUCCCUCACAUCCAGCAGUGCUCCGGUACCCAAUUGGCUUUUUUCAUGUGUGUAAUGUGUACGUCUUUGUGAACAAGUGAUCUUGCAACGACAGUCUUCAUUAGGAAGAUCUUGUCUGAAAGAUAACUUCGAGCACUGCUUACGUUUUAUGACUUAUGUUCAAUACAUGCUUCACUUAAUCAGCCCAUGUCUCCCCUUGAAAAGACUGCAGAUGUUGUGUACAGUUCCGCGUUUGCUUGUGUUUCAUCCGUUGAGUUCUUAAUUAUAUUUGAGAUGCAUUGAGUUGUGAAUUGUUUGUUUCAACCUUCAAACAUAAUCUUUCUACACUGGAAAAUAAUAAUUUUCUAUUGUACAUUUCCACUUCCCCCCUUGAAUUUGUUGAUAUUUAGUAAGCAGCUGUAUUCUUUGUUCACUUUCAACAGUAUGUUUUAUAAUGAAAAUAAUAACUUUAUUGGUGAGCCAUAUGAAUGGUCAAAUUAAAAUAUUCAUCAAUCAUU